UGGAUUCCAAAUGUCAUUUCAUCACCCUAAGUGGUAGUGAUUAGGUCAAAAUUGAUGACUGGCUCAUGGAGACUAGCAGGGGUGGGCA